CCUAAUACAUGCAAGUCGAGCGAUGAUGCUCCUUCGGGAGUACAUCAGCGGCGAACGGGUGAGUAACACGUAGGUGACUUGCCCCGAAGAUGGGGAUAACCUCUGGAAACGGGGGCUAAUACCCAAUGUGCUCGGUGAUUCGGUUGAUCGAGUAAAGCUCCGGCGCUUCGGGAGAGGCCUGCGGCCCAUCAGCUAGUUGGUAGGGUAACGGCCUACCAAGGCAGAGACGGGUAGGGGGCGUGAGAGCGCGGACCCCCACACUGGCACUGCGACACGGGCCAGACUCCUACGGGAGGCAGCAGUAAGGAAUAUUGCGCAAUGGACGAAAGUCAGACGCAGCGACGCCGCGUGGGCGAUGAAGGCCUUCGGGUUGUAAAGCCCUUUUAUGGGGGAAGAGAAAAAGGACGGUACCCCAUGAAUAAGUCCCGGCUAACUACGUGCCAGCAGCCGCGGUAAAACGUAGGGGACAAGCGUUAUCCGGAUUCACUGGGCGUAAAGAGCGUUGAGGCGGUUCCGUAAGUUGGGCGUGAAAGCUCCGGGCUUAACCCGGAGAUGUCGUUCAAUACUGCGGGGCUUGAGGACAGCAGAGGAAGGUGGAAUUCCCGGUGUAGUGGUGAAAUGCGUAGAUAUCGGGAGGAACACCCGUGGCGAAAGGCGGCCUUCUGGGCUGUUCCUGACGCUGAAGGCGAAAGCUAGGGGAGCGAACGGGAUUAGAUACCCCGGUAGUCCUAGCUGUAAACGAUGGAUACUGGGUGUGGGGGGUGUAAAUUCCCUC
rnacentral:rRNA from 1 species